CGAUUCCCAAAAGCGCUCCUCCUUGGCGAUUUACAAUCUCUUUCUUCUUCAUCUCUUUGUUUUUCUUCUUCGAUUCAGUCUGAUUAUGAUCGGCGACGCAUCUCUCGAUCAGAUCCAUGUCUAAAUUCCCAUAUUCUAAGGUAUAAAUCUCUUAUAUACAUACGAUUCUUCAGGUUUUUAUUUAUAUGUGAUUUUUCAGGAAUUUUUUUAGGGAUUUGGGUGUUGAUUUUGUAGGGAUUUCUUGGGAAUUCAACUUGAAUUGCUACAGUUUUAAUCUCAAUGAAACAAAAGGUAUGAUCCCGACCUUUUUCUCACUUAAUCUUUAGGGUUUUGGCUUUUGCAAUCCAAUGUUAAAGGUACGAUCCUUCUUCUUCUUUUUUCAGUCUUUGUUUAAAUUUUUGACUAAUUGCUAGUUUCCUUGGUUACCGUUCCUUGGUUUUGAGUUUUGACUCUUACUUGCUUCUGUGAUUCGUUGUUUCGUUGUUUUUUUGCUUGCUUCUUUACGUUCUUGCUUCCUUACUUCUAUGCCUUUUAAUUUCUUGUUUUGCUUAUUACAUGCUUUUUUGAUUCGUUGUUUCGUUGUUUUCUUUUGCUUGCUUCUUUACGUUCUUGCUUCCUUACUUCUAUGCCUUUUAAUUUCUUGUUUUGUUUGUUACUUGCUUCUGAGAUUCGUUGUUUCUUUGCCUGCCUGCUUCUGUGAUUCGUUGUUUCUUUGCUUGCUUGCUUCUUUGAUUCGUUGUUUCUUUGCUUGUUUGCUUGCUUCUGUGAUUCGUUGUUUCUGUGCUUGCUUGCUUCUGUGAUUCGUUGUUUCUUUGCUUGCUUGCUUGCUUCUUUAGGUUCAUUCUUCCUUAGUUAUAUUAUAUGUGUCUUAAUUUGCUGUUUGCUUGCUUGCUUCUUUACAUUCUUGCUUUGUUACUUGCCUCCUUUGUUAAUUGCUGUGUAAUUCCUCAGUUAUAUGUGUGUGUUUGUGCUUGCUUUCUUCCUUGGUUCCUUCUGUGCUUCCUUAUUUUUCUUACAUGAUUCCUUGUGUACUUCCUUACUUGCUUAUUUGAUUCGUUGUUUAGUUUAUUGUUUGCCUCUUUAGAUGAUUGAUUCCUUGAUUCUUUACUAAUUCUCUUACUAGCUUUACUUAUCACACACUUAUUUAUUAAUAACUCUGUAGUUUCAUUUCUCAAAUGUAAUCAAAACUUGUAGGUUUCUUGUUUCCUCAUAAUUGGUCCAUCUAUCUAUUGAUUAAUCUAACACUUUUAUCAGCUGAGCAACUAAUUGCAGAUACCAAACUUGAUGUGCUACUCCUAUUGCCAACAAGGUUGUACCAAAACACAAUAGACCUUACAUCCAUUGGUCACGACUAUCCUAAACAAAAUAAGGUAUUUCCAUCUUAACAUGUUUUGUAAAAAUAUCCAGUCAGAGUAAUUAAACAAAAACCGGAAAAAGGUUUAUUAUACUUUCUUUUGGUGUAAAUAACACACAUGGAAUUGAAUAUUUUACUUUUUGCUUCUCAGGUCAUGUUCUUACUCAAACUGGACUAAGGUUUGUAAUAAUAAAUAUUUUUUUAUGUUCUUAAAUCACAUGAUCUAUACAUAAGGAGCUUUAAAAUGGUUGAAAGAUGUAGGGGCUAAACCAAUAACCGUAACAAGUAACAGAUUUGUGGCGAACAUAAAAUAUUUUGCUGGGUAAGUAAUCGUUUUUGAAAUUAUAUAGUAAUUUAACACACUGCUUCUCCUAACUUGUUUAUUUAGCAGUUAUGGAUUGUUCUAAAGCCAAAAGUUUCUAUGGGGGUCGGGUCUUUGUGCAGUCUGGUGUGUCACUUAGCUUUCUUGUUAUGUCGUCAAUGCAAUGUGCUAUCACGUUCUUCGGCUAGUCCAUGAGAUCUGGAAACCUAUUCCUCGAACUGUAAGUAUCUGAUCAUCUAUACUUCCAGGAUAUACUUUCACUACAUUAUGUCUGAGCAUGUCGACCUUUUUAUUACAUGUAAAAAAAUACAUUGCAACCCCCAAAGCCUCCAUACUACCGUGAAACCGUUCUUGUACGAGAGCAUGUUUCUACGGGAGGUUCGGGUAUUUGUGAUAAUUUUCUUACAUAUUCUAUUUGCAGAUAAAGCACCGCUCGAAAGGGGACACCAUUGUUGACUAUUGCUUAUCUGAUACACACGGAAAUCGAAAGCAAGAUAGUAAAAGCAAAGGUAUUUUUCCCAUUCCAUGAUAUCUGUGAAAUACAUACAACGACUAGACAAGACCUAUAACAUUUGAUGGCAUGAAAUUGCAGGUAAAUGGUUAUCUUGUUUCUACAACUCACGUUCUUGAGAAUGUUGAUGUCCUGGAGACUGUCACCUACAACAUUUUGUACCUUUUCUCUCAUGCAUUUUUUCCAUUUCUCGUUUUCUUUUUGUCCUACGUACGGAAAUUAUAAGUAGCUUCAUCUGCUCUACCUAGGUUUCACGAGCUUUCAUGUUCCUUUUUAUUGUUACAGCCCCUCUCAAGCAGAUUUCCAGAGACAUAAACAGUGGUUGCAACAUGCGAAAACAAGGAGUGCGAGACAGAAGAUUAUGAGGGUAUAUUAUUGGUAUUCACUUACUUUAUAUGCUUAUUGGCUCACAUUUACUAAUUCUUCAUGUCUCUCCUCUUGUUCAAGUCAAUGACUUUGUGGCAGACUAUGAUAGUGAUGCAGAACAUUCAAGAAAGAGCUUACAAUGGUGGGAGAAAAUCCUCGUCAAUGUCAAGCAGUUCCCACUUCCCAGUCACAAGACAAAAUCAGAUAUACAUCACGAAGAAAAAGGCAGAGAUAUUACAACACCCACUUCUCAAAAUGGAGCACUUGGUCCCAAAGGUGAAUUGAAAACACACAAAAAAUAGCAAUAGAAACUCGAGUUUAGAUGAGUCAAAUUUCCUCUUACCAGGUAAUGGAAUUGCCAAGAUUUUUCCUGCUAAAAGCUUAGACAGUUGGCGAGACACUAAAAGCUCAAAGGUCACUCCAUCGAAUGGUUCUGUGUAGUAUCUAUGGAUCGGAAAGGUAUGUUAUCCUUGAUUUCUUGUAGUCGUGAUUGAUGAUUUUAGCAACUCAAAAGUAAACCACAAUUUUUUUUUUGUCACAUUUUGGCAGGCAUAAUCUCAAAGGUUACAACAGUCCUUGUCGUUGAAAGGUUCUGUGUAGUAUCCAUGGAUCGGAAAGGUAUGUUAUCCUUGAUUUCUUGUAGUUGUGAUUGAUGAUUUUAACAAUUUGAAAGUAAAACUAGAUUUUUUAAUUUUUUUAUUUUUAACAUUUUGGCAGGCAUAAUGUCAAAGUUUACAACAGUGCUUGCAGCUGAAAGCAUCGCAGUAUGUUCUUGUUUGGUAGCCUUGAUAUUAACUUACCUCUGAAAAUAUUAUAGUUUUCAACGGCUCAUCUUACAAAUCUUAUAGUUUAUUCCAUGCCUGAAUUUGCCGAGGAAGAGGAUUAGCAGUAAUGUUGCUUCAAAUAGAAGCAAACAUUGAAAGCUUGGUAAUAUUUCCUAAAUUUCUAAACUCUCGUUCUAAACCUUUUUUUGGAUCUUCGCCCACUAAGCACUAACCCUUGUCUCUGUGGAUAUUUAACUCCCAGGUUAUUGUUUUGCGCAGGUGGAUCUAAUCUUGGGAUGGUCGAGUGGUUUUAGCUGGCCAAAAUCAACGGAUAAUGCUCAAGUUCUUGAGUGUUAAAGCCAAAAGACUCACGUUCUUGGCCAUGAAGUUUUUUCAUUUUUUUCUUCUUACUUGCUUCUUUGAUUCGUUGUUUCUUUUGCUUGCUUGCUUUGUUACUUGCUACAUUCAUUGUUUGUUUUCUUGCUCAACUUGUUUGCUUUUGCUGCUUCUCUGAUUCCUCUGCUUUGUGUAUUGCUUGUUGUUUCUUUGCUUCUUUGAUUCCUCUGCUUUGUGCUUCCUUGAUUUCUUUGUAUUGUUUGUUCUUUUGUUUUUGCCCAACUUGUUUGUUUGAUUCCUCUGCUUAGUGUAUUAAAUGUUUCUUUGCUUCUCAGAUUCUUAUUCUGUAUUGUAAAUUGUUUGUUUUCUUGCUCAACUUGUUUGCUUUUGCUGCUUCUUUGAUUCCUCUGCUUUGUGUAUUGCUUGUUUCUUUGCUUCUUUGAUUCCUCUUUUGUGUGCGUGCUUCAUUCAUAUGUUUAGUGCAUUGUUCGUUUUUAUUUGCCUCUUUGAUUCCUCUACUUUGUUCAUUACUUGCUUCCUUAAUUCCUCUCAAUACUUGAAGACUAAAAAGAUUGUGUGGGAUAAAUUUUUGUAUCAUGUUUGUAUUAUUAUUCACUCUUAUGUUGAAGAGAGUUACGCAGCGGAGAAAUCGUCUGAGGCGGUGCUGAGCUUUUCGUGGCAGCUUUUAAUAUGUCUUAAAGCUAUAUCAUUAGUAAAAUCAAAAUCUACAACGUAAAAUGAUGAGUUUUUUUUUUACUGGACAAAAUUGUGAAGUUUUUCUUCAAGAGAGACAGAGAGACACAUCCACAGAGAAAACAUUUUGAAAAACAAAGAGAGUACGAAACGGCUUUGAAUCAUCAAAGAGGACAUCACGAGGACUUCAUUAAUACAUACACUUACUACUACAAGAGAUAAUCAUAGAACCUAAAACCCUAUAAAAAGUUUGGGUUAGGUUUAUUGAAAGGUCCUACUACUUUAACUUUUCUUGAUUCAUACUUCAUCACAUCCUCUACGUUCUCGUGACUCUCUCUUCUCUCUUCUGUCUCCAACCUCUAUUAACUCUGUCUCCUCCUCUCUCUCUCUCUCUCUUUUUGUACGGAUACAUACAACGGAUAGUAAGACAAAAAAAACAAACAGAGAUGGUAGGGACUAUUUCUCUUGCUCUGCCUCCUUCCUUGUACCAUUCUUUUCUAAGUGUGUUCACCAUUCUCACAUCAUCCAAAACUUGUCAUCAGCUUAUACCAAAGCCGUCUAUCUCUUUUAACCUAACUGUUUUGUCUGAAACCGUGUAAUAUGUGCGUGAGAGACUCUACCUAACUCUUUUGUCCUUUCUUAAAAAAUAAUUUCUUGAUCAAAUAGCUCUAGAUGAAACAUAACUGGAAGUUAAGAUUUAUAAAAAUAAAUGGAGUUCUCAAAAGCUUAAUUAAAACAACCUCUCAUUAGCAAUUGCAUUACAUGCUUAAAUUAUAAGUUAUGAAGAGAAGAAAAAAAACUGAGAUGAAAAUUGCAGGUUCAAAGGGACUUAGUUCUUCUAGCUCCGGUUCAACUGAUGCUCAAUGGACUCAAACUCAGGGGAUCAGAUCAGAUCAUACCAGCAUAGCCUGCUGUAUCAAAAAGCACUGCUUUGAUUUGAUCAGGUAGUAUCUCCUGUCCUUCUUGACAUUGCUGAUAGACAAAAGAGAAAAGAACACAUGUUACUACUAAUAUCUUACUACAAAUCUGCAACUGUUUUAUCUAAGAGUAGAAGAUCCUUACCUCAGCACGGAAAACAUCCAAGGCAAACCCGUUGAAACAGCUAAUCACGGCUUGCUGAACAUCCAGUCCAAGAUUAUCCAAAGCUUUCAUGGUAGCAAGUAAAAGACCUGGUCUACGACCACAGAACAUAUGAAUGUUCACUGCUCUUCCUUCCCUUAAUCUAACCUCAACCUGCGAAAAAGAAGCAGAGUAACAUCUCAGACAUGAAUCUUUGUUUUCGUCUUUCCCGUCUAAGCAAAAGUUAUACAGAAUAUAGUCCUUACUCUUGCUUGCUGGCCUUUAGGACUUGGCAAAGAAGAGGGACAUAACUCUUCC
rnacentral:lncRNA from 1 species